UACGUAGGAGGCAAGCGUUGUUCGGGAUUAUUGGGAGGAAAGGGCGCGUAGGCGGUUUGUUAAGUCAGCUGUGAAAGCCCGGGGCUCAACCCCGGAGGGUCAGCUGAUACUGGCAGACUAGAGUACAGAAGAGGUAACUGGAAUUCCCGGUGUAGCGGUGAAAUGCGCAGAUAUCAGGAGGAACACCGGUGGAGAAGGCGGGUCUCUGGGCCGAUACUGACGCUGAGGAGCGAAAGCGUGGGGAGCGAACAGG
rnacentral:rRNA from 1 species